rnacentral:tRNA from 1 species
GGACCCGCCGACGGCACGCCGCUCUCUCAAGGCGGUAGCGCGGGUUCGAAUCCCGUCGGGGCUA